UACAGAGGUCUCGAAGCGUUGUUCGGAUUCAUUGGGCGUAAAGGGUGCGUAGGCGGCGCGGUAAGUCGGGGUGUGAAAUCUCGGAGCUUAACUCCGAAACUGCAUUCGAUACUGCCGUGCUUGAGGACUGGAGAGGAGACUGGAAUUUACGGUGUAGCGGUGAAAUGCGCAGAUAUCAGGAGGAACACCGGUGGCGAAGGCGGGUCUCUGGGCCGAUACUGACGCUGGAGGAGCGAAAGCGUGGGGAGCGAACAGG
rnacentral:rRNA from 1 species